AGAAUCGGAUGUAACUUUUUCUUUAGAUGUCCAUGGAUAUAUUAUUUGCCUGAUUCCGAGUCCGUAUGAGAAAGUUACGCCCAUUUUAA
rnacentral:rRNA from 1 species